rnacentral:lncRNA from 1 species
ACAUGUUUACUUACCUCGGUGCAAAAUAUCGUAAUUUUGCAAUUUACUCCACUACUUUCUCUUUUCCCCGUUUGAGGUAUUCUUCUCGUCUUUCUUGAUCUAUAAUAAAAAAUUUAACUCAUUUAAUGUUCACAUUUAUUAAAAUAAUCCUCCACCCAACUUUUUGAAAAAUUACAAUUUUGCCCCUAAACUUUUGCAU